CCUGUCUCACCUGUCCGCCCUCCAACGCCGCAGUCACCCGUCCUCUCUGCUCCAACCCCUGAUCCACCGUGCUGCCUAUCCCUCUCAGCUCCGCUUUUUCCACCAGCAAGAAGACCAUUGGUCCGGUUCCGCCCUCCCAAGUGUCCCAUCCUGGAUGUCUUUCACAUUUUGCACCGUGUUUAUAAUAAAUCAUUGAACU